rnacentral:rRNA from 1 species
GACGAACCGUCCAAACGUUUAUUCGGAAUCACUGGGCUUACAGAGUUCGUAGGCGGUCUGGAAAGUUGGGUGUGAAAUCCCUCGGCUCAACCGAGGAACUGCGCUCAAAACUACCCGACUCGAGGGAGAUAGAGGAAAGCGGAACUGAUGGUGGAGCGGUGAAAUGCGUUGAUAUCAUCAGGAACACCGGUGGCGAAGGCGGCUUUCUGGGUCUUACCUGACGCUGAGGAACGAAAGCUAGGGGAGCGAACGGG